rnacentral:tRNA from 1 species
GCCGAAGUGGCGGAACGGGAGACGCGCUGCGCUCAGGACGCAGUGGGCACAACGCCCGUGUGGGUUCGAAUCCCACCUUCGGCACCA